GAUGAAGAACGUAGCGAAAUGCGAUACUUGGUGUGAAUUGCAGAAUCCCGUGAACCAUCGAGUCUUUGAACGCAAGUUGCGCCCGAAGCCAUUAGGCCGAGGGCACGCCUGCCUGGGCGUCACACGUCGUUGCCCCCCCAUCUACUCCUUCGGGAUUGCGGGGGGCGGAUGAUGGCCUCCCGUGCGCCUCGUCGCGCGGUUGGCCUAAAUGCCAAGUCCUCGGCGACGCACGCCACGACAAUCGGUGGUUGCGAAACCUCGGUUGCCCGUCGUGUGCGGUCGUCGCGCAUCGAGGGCUCGAAAAAAUUGCCGGGCUUCGGCUCGACUUUCAACGCGACCCCAGGUCAGGCGGGGUUACCCGCUGAAUCUAAGCAUAUCAAUAAGCGGAGGA
rnacentral:misc_RNA from 1 species